AGGUCAUAAAUAGUAAUAAACCAACUCGUUGCUAUAUAAAGAACAUGGUAUGUUGAUCAAAAGUCAUCAGUCUUUUACAAGAAAGCUUCACUCACCAAUCCAACAUGCAGUUUGUUUUUAUUCUUCUCGCAUCCGUUGUCGUCACCGCCGUUUCAGCUCAAUCUUACGAAUAUAAACCCAGUUAUCCUGCAGCUGGUUACAAGGACGAUUACUAUUCGGCUCCGGCUAAAUACAAUUUUGGAUAUACGGUAAAGGACGAUUAUUCUUACGUCGACUUUGGCCACAACGAAAACC